AGCUGGCGGCGUGCCUAAUACAUGCAAGUCGAGCGAACAGAUGAGGAGCUUGCUCUUUUGACGUUAGCGGCGGACGGGUGAGUAACACGUGGGUAACCUACCUAUAAGACUGGAAUAACUCCGGGAAACCGGGGCUAAUGCCGGAUAAUAUGUUGAACCGCAUGGUUCAACAGUGAAAGACGGUUUUGCUGUCACUUAUAGAUGGACCCGCGCCGUAUUAGCUAGUUGGUGAGGUAACGGCUCACCAAGGCGACGAUACGUAGCCGACCUGAGAGGGUGAUCGGCCACACUGGAACUGAGACACGGUCCAGACUCCUACGGGAGGCAGCAGUAGGGAAUCUUCCGCAAUGGGCGAAAGCCUGACGGAGCAACGCCGCGUGAGUGAUGAAGGUCUUCGGAUCGUAAAGCUCUGUUGUUAGGGAAGAACACAUGUGUAAGUCACUAUGCACAUCUUGACGGUACCUAACCAGAAAGCCACGGCUAACUACGUGCCAGCAGCCGCGGUAAUACGUAGGUGGCAAGCGUUAUCCGGAAUUAUUGGGCGUAAAGCGCGCGUAGGCGGUUUUUUAAGUCUGAUGUGAAAGCCCACGGCUCAACCGUGGAGGGUCAUUGGAAACUGGAAAACUUGAGUGCAGAAGAGGAAAGUGGAAUUCCAUGUGUAGCGGUGAAAUGCGCAGAGAUAUGGAGGAACACCAGUGGCGAAGGCGGCUUUCUGGUCUGCAACUGACGCUGAUGUGCGAAAGCGUGGGGAUCAAACAGGAUUAGAUACCCUGGUAGUCCACGCCGUAAACGAUGAGUGCUAAGUGUUAGGGGGUUUCCGCCCCUUAGUGCUGCAGCUAACGCAUUAAGCACUCCGCCUGGGGAGUACGGUCGCAAGACUGAAACUCAAAGGAAUUGACGGGGACCCGCACAAGCGGUGGAGCAUGUGGUUUAAUUCGAAGCAACGCGAAGAACCUUACCAAAUCUUGACAUCCUUUGACCGCUCUAGAGAUAGAGUUUUCCUCUUCGGAGGACAAAGUGACAGGUGGUGCAUGGUUGUCGUCAGCUCGUGUCGUGAGAUGUUGGGUUAAGUCCCGCAACGAGCGCAACCCUUGAACUUAGUUGCCAUCAUUCAGUUGGGCACUCUAAGUUGACUGCCGGUGACAAACCGGAGGAAGGUGGGGAUGACGUCAAAUCAUCAUGCCCCUUAUGAUUUGGGCUACACACGUGCUACAAUGGACAAUACAAAGGGCAGCGAAACCGCGAGGUCAAGCAAAUCCCAUAAAGUUGUUCUCAGUUCGGAUUGUAGUCUGCAACUCGACUACAUGAAGCUGGAAUCGCUAGUAAUCGUAGAUCAGCAUGCUACGGUGAAUACGUUCCCGGGUCUUGUACACACCGCCCGUCACACCACGAGAGUUUGUAACACCCGAAGCCGGUGGAGUAACCAUUUGGAGCUAGCCGUCGAAGGUGGACAA
rnacentral:rRNA from 1 species